rnacentral:rRNA from 1 species
AGUGAACGCUGGCGGUAGGCCUAACACAUGCAAGUCGAACGGCAGCACAGUAAGAUCUUGCUCUUACGGGUGGCGAGUGGCGGACGGGUGACGAAUGCAUCGGAAUCUACUUUUUCGUGGGGGAUAACGUAGGGAAACUUACGCUAAUACCGCAUACGAUCUACGGGUGAAAUCAGGGGAUCUUCGGAACUUGCGCGAUAGAAUGAGCCGAUGUCGGAUUAGCUAGUUGGCGGGGUAAAGGCCCACCAAGGCAACGAUCCGUAGCUGGUCUGAGAGGAUGAUCAGCCACACUGGAACUGAGACACGGUCCAGACUCCUACGGGAGGCAGCAGUGGGGAAUAUUGGACAAUGGGCGCAAGCCUGAUCCAGCCAUACCGCGUGGGUGAAGAAGGCCUUCGGGUUGUAAAGCCCUUUUGUUGGGAAAGAAAAGCAGCAGGUUAAUACCCCGCUGUUCUGACGGUACCUAAAGAGUAAGCACCGGCUAACUUCGUG